AGCCGGGCGGAUCGCCGCUGCGCUCUUCCUGCACAGGCCCCCUGGGCCUGAUGCAGAGAAGGCGGAGAGGAAAGUCCGGGCUCCACAGGGCAAGACGCCGGGUAACACCCGGGAGGGGCGACCCUCUGACAGCGCCACAGAAAGCAGACCGCCCUGCUUGCAGGGUAAGGGUGAAACGGUGGUGUAAGAGACCACCAGACACGCCAGUAAUGACGUGUGCUCGGCAUACCACGUCUGGAGCAAGACCAAGUAGGGGAGGCGGCUCGCCCGGCCCCAUGCCUCCCGGGUCGGUUGCUUGAGGGUACGGGAGACCGUGCUCCUAGAGGAAUGGCGGUCCCGCGCCUCCUGAUCCGUCAGGCUGCGCGGACAGAACCCGGCUUACAGUCCGACUCU
rnacentral:RNase_P_RNA from 1 species